rnacentral:rRNA from 1 species
AUGACCUCUCUUCCUCAGGGCGGCAUGGAGAAAACGGCGGCGGCGGUGGCGGUGGCGGCCGAAGAGGAGCCGGAGGAAGCGUGGGCGUGGACCUGGGGCGCGGGCACGGACGGGCAGCUGGGGAACGGCGGCUUCCAGGACUAUCAUCUCCCGCAGCCGCUCCUCCUCCCGCCUCGCUGCCGCGGCCGCGUUUCCUUCGUCGCCGGCGGCGGCGCCCACGCCAUCGCCCUCACAAGUGAUGGUGAAGUAUUUACUUGGGGCAGAGGUACCCAUGGUCAGCUUGGCCAUGGGAACAUAGAGAACAUCCCUCAUCCAAAGUCCGUUAAGUUCUUUGAAAACUAUACAGUAACCUGUGUGUCUACUGGAUGGAACCAUUCUGGAUUUGCUACAGAUUCUGGGCAACUCUUCAUGUGCGGAGAUGGCUCAUUUGGACAGCUUGGCACUGGUGAUACUCAGUCAAGGAACUUGCCAUUUGAAGUGCCAUCCUUUACCACAAAGCAUGUCGAGAAGCUUGCAUUUGGGAUGCGCCAUUCUCUUGUCCUAUUGAAAGAUAAUUCAGUUUAUGGAUUUGGCUCAGCAAGACGGGGACAAGUUGGCAAAUCUGCUUCCAAAAAUCAGAAGUUUUGUAAUACUCCUAGAUUAAUUGAUGGUUUUCCAAACUGCAAAAUAGUGAAUUUAUAUGCCAAUGGAGAUCAUAGUGCUGCAUUGGAUGAAUCUGGCCAGUUGUACAUCUGGGGAAGAGCAUUAGUUGGUGAACAUGAUGAUGACCAACCUCGGGCAGCCUUUCCCUCUUUGAGUAUUUCUCAAGUGGCAUUAGGAUGGCAUCAUGCACUAGUUUUAUCUGGAGGUGAAUUGUACACCAUUGGUGCUUACCGCCAUCAGAAGUGUGACCCUUCUGUGUCAGAAAAUGCAGUAGCGCAGAAACUGAAUCUUACCACAACAAGCAGUAAACAUCAUGAAUCAUUUUCAGUGUCAAAUUUAGCGAAGGUGCCCUCUAUUCAUGGACAGCAGGUGACCCAGAUAGCAGCCGGCACUGAACAUUCAGCUUUGGUGACAGACAGCGGAGCAUUGUUCACCUGGGGCUGGGGAGAGCACGGGCAACUGGGCUUGGGAGAUACUUGUGAUCAGGUGGUUCCUCGGAGAGUAAAUCUAGGCGACGAGGGCUCACGUUCUUCUGCUUCGCUCAGCGUGUACUGUGGGAGCGGAUUUACCGUCGCCGUGAGCCUGCCUUAG